rnacentral:rRNA from 1 species
CAGUCGACGAUGAAGCUGGAGCUUGCUCUGGUGGAUUAGUGGCGAACGGGUGAGUAACACGUGAGCAACCUGCCCCUGACUCUGGGAUAACAGCCGGAAACGGCUGCUAAUACCGGAUAUGCACCAUGAACGCAUGUUCUGUGGUGGGAAAGAUUUUUCGGUUGGGGAUGGGCUCGCGGCCUAUCAGCUUGUUGGUGAGGUAAUGGCUCACCAAGGCGUCGACGGGUAGCCGGCCUGAGAGGGUGACCGGCCACACUGGGACUGAGACACGGCCCAGACUCCUACGGGAGGCAGCAGUGGGGAAUAUUGCACAAUGGGCGAAAGCCUGAUGCAGCAACGCCGCGUGAGGGAUGACGGCCUUCGGGUUGUAAACCUCUUUUAGCAGGGAAGAAGCGAGAGUGACGGUACCUGCAGAAAAAGCGCCGGCUAACUACGUGCCAGCAGCCGCGGUAAUACGUAGGGCGCAAGCGUUAUCCGGAAUUAUUGGGCGUAAAGAGCUCGUAGGCGGUUUGUCGCGUCUGCUGUGAAAACUGGAGGCUCAACCUCCAGCCUGCAGUGGGUACGGGCAGACUAGAGUGCGGUAGGGGAGAUUGGAAUUCCUGGUGUAGCGGUGGAAUGCGCAGAUAUCAGGAGGAACACCGAUGGCGAAGGCAGAUCUCUGGGCCGUAACUGACGCUGAGGAGCGA